GCUACUGGCACCCUUUGCCCUUUAGAUACAUGAACUUGUUAACAAUGUGAUUGGCUAAAGAAUUGUCUAAUCAUAUAUGUCAAUAAUAAAGAACAAAGCACCUUGCAGUUUUCUCUCCUAUUCUACUCCCCUGUGAAAGACAGAUGUGUUGUGUCUAAUUAUUCACUGAUUGGUAUCGGGAGAAACAUUAACAUAAUUGGCACAUUUGUUCUAAUUAACAGAGAGAAACUGCCACAUGCCACCCAACAUGAAAAGUGACUCCAGCAACUAUUAGCUAGAAAAACCCUCAUCUAUCAGAAAGGUUACUCCGUUGAACUCAAACUGGGGCCCCUCGAGUCAGAACACAGAGACUGGAAAUGACACAACAGAGUUGUGAAGAGUGUGUACACCUGAGAGGAUGGCGAUUCAGCCUGGAGUCACUAGAUGCAGGAGACGACCGAAGCAUGGGAAACAGAUUACAUCACCAGGAGAAAGACGGAGUGCUCAACGUACAGGACACCAACAUUCAAAAGAAAAGGCUGCCAGCAAAAUGACAUGGCAUGAACAAAGAGGCAAGAGAGAAACCAAACAGACAUGUGUCAGAGGAGCCAAGAGGAGAAUAACGUUUUAACAAGAUGAGAGGCCAACAGGACAAAUGCAGGGAAGGAUUCAGAAGGGUGAAGAAGCCACUGGUUUGGGACAUUUAGGUGUGAACGGCAAGUGAAAGCCAAGCUGGGUUGAGGGGUGCACGGGAACUGGCAAUAUGACCAUCAUGAGAAUCUACUGCUCUUUUGCAAAAAUUUUAUGAUGACAGAAGUCAGCAACACCAUUAAGAGGCAAUGGGUUUGAAUGCAGCAUGCUGUAAUUCUUAGGAUAUGGUGUAGUUUUUGGCAUGGUUUUCAAAUUCCUGCCAUAUGAAGGCACUUCUUAGGAGGAUCCCUGUUUCCUAACUGAGAAUGGUGACCACACAUCAGAGGCACAUCCUUCGAGAGACAGGUUUAACUGAGCCAUCAUUGAAUACCUUGUAAUUAUUUCAUUUUAAUGGUUUGGCUUUAAACUCCAUAUAAAUUUUAUGUAAUUUCUAAAAUGAUCUCGCAUUUAACCCCCCACGAGGCAAUACUUCUUCCUGCAAAAUCCUUUUAAUUUCUGCCAUAAACCCUCUUUUCUAGCUCUCAGGUUGUGUAAUGAGCAUAGAAUAUAUUGUGGUUGUCCAGGAAUGCAGCUGCUCACUUCUGGAUGCCUCUGCAAGGGGAGGGUGGGUAAUGUUUUAAGCAUAUCCUUUAUCAUUUGCAGAGAUGUGAUAGAAGGCAGGCUGGAUGCCUUGCAGGCAGAGAGAACACAAGGGUGACGAAUGAAUAAGCAUGAAAAACGGACAUUUGUCAGCCAGGAAUUAGAUGUAAAACAGAACGGUUCAGAAUAAUGUGGGUAUUCCUGUCAGGAAAAGAGAUGAAUUUCUGCCCUUGGAAGACCUUUAGGAUUCUACAUUUCUGUUUUCUUUCCAUUAGUUCUGCUGAUAGUAAAAUAAGUAUAAAGUCCUUUCAUUAUAACCUAGAUUACUUUUGCAAAGUCAACUUGGCCUACCUCCGAUUUAGUCGUUGAUUCCAGCGAUUAAAAGAAAAACCAGCUUUGUCAUACGCAUGCAUUCUGAGAGAUGUUUACUUAAGAGCAUGAAUAUUGGCUUACUAAAUCCAUACAGCAAAAUCCAAUUAGCAGAUGUAGAAUCAGACUUGAAACUAUAUGGAUUUCUAUUUACCAUUUACACAGUAAUCAAAGAAAGCCUUUCAGAACCCCUACAUGCAUGGGCACAUACGACGUCUCAUUUUCUAUUGUAGAAUCUCGACGCUUUCAGUGAUUUUUUUUCUUUUGCAAAAUAAUACUACUGUGGUUACGAAUUAUUUAUGAAGUGGAAUACACUAAUUAAUGGCAUUCUACAAACAUGAACUCUGCUUUUUGGCAAUGUGGUGAACAGAAAUGAAGACUAACUGGGAGUUCGAAGACUGGGCCUUUCCCUUUCCUCAUUUCUAAGAUAAAAAUAAAUGUCUGGAUGCUUC